GCCGGUCAUCGGAAUGGGUACAAUCUAAACCCUUUANCGAGUAUCUAUGAGAGGGCAAGUCUGGUGCCAGCAGCCGCGGUAAUUCCAGCUCUCAAAAUGCAUAGAAUCAUUGCUGCGGUUAAAAAGCUCGUAGUUGGAUCUGUGCUGGGACGUCGGUCCACCCUACUCGGGUGCGUACUGGUCGUUCUCGGCUUUUUUGGUCGGCUUUUCCCGUCGUAGCCUUCACUGGUUGCGGCGGGUGGCUGACGAUUUUACUUUGAACAAAUCAGAGUGCUCAACACAGGCGUUUCGCUUGAAUGUUCUUGCAUGGAAUAAUAGAAAAGGAUUUCGGYUCUGUUUUAUUGGUUUUACGGACUGAGAUAAUGGUUAACAGAGACAGACGGGGGCAUUCGUAUUGCUGCGUGAGAGGUGAAAUUCUUGGACCGCAGCAGGACGAACUACAGCGAAAGCAUUUGCCAAGAAUGUCUUCAUUAAUCAAGAACGAAAGUCAGAGGNUCGAAGGCGAUCAGAUACCGCCCUAGUUCUGACCGUAAACGAUGCCAACUAGCGAUCCGCCGGCGGAUCAAUUUCGCCCUGGUGGGGAGCUUCCCGGAAACGAAAGUCUUCCGGNUCCGGGGGAAGUAUGGUUGCAAAGCUGAAACUUAAAGGAAUUGACGGAAGGGCACCACCAGGAGUGGAGCCUGCGGCUUAAUUUGACUCAACACGGGAAAACUCACCCGGUCCGGACACCGUGAGGAUUGACAGAUCGACAGCUUUUUCAUGAUUCGGUGGAUGGUGGUGCAUGGCCGUUCUUAGUUCGUGGAGCGAUUUGUCUGGUUUAUUCCGAUAACGAGCGAGACUCUAGCCUACUAACUAGUCCACUCAUUCUCUGUGGGUGCGACUUCUUAGAGGGAUUUUCGGUGUUCAGCCGCACGAAAUUGAGCAAUAACAGGUCUGUGAUGCCCUUAGAUGUCCGGGGCUGCACGCGCGCUACACUGGCGAAAUCAGCGUGCUUG
rnacentral:rRNA from 1 species